CGUGUAGGCGGACUGACAAGUCAGAUGUGAAAUCCAUGGGCUCAACCUAUGAACUUGCAUUUGAAACUAUUGGUCUUGAGUAUCGGAGAGGCAAGCGGAAUUCCUAGUGUAGCGGUGAAAUGCGUAGAUAUUAGGAGGAACACCAGUGGCGAAGGCGGCUUGCUGGACGACAACUGACGCUGAGGCGCGAAAAGCGUGGGGAGCAAACA
rnacentral:rRNA from 1 species